ACAGUACUAUGGAGGUGGGUGGACAAAGGAGCUACAAGGGGCUCCACCAGUGCAUGGAGGUCUGCUCACAGUCCCUCGAUUGGAUAGUCAGAUGCAAGCCAGUACCUCUUCCUCUCGCUCUUAUGUUGGCCCCGUUCCCCAUCCUCCCUGCGCAACCUUGGAUGGCCACCUCUCCUCUUUAUCCUCCUACAGCCACGGCCUCGCAUCUAUCUUAAUUGAGGUGCUUGGCUGCCUGAUGCAGGCUCUCAGCCUUCCUUGAGUGCGUCGUCACCAUCAUCAGUUGCCGCUGUUGGCUAUAGUUGCCUUCUGAUGAAUCUAGAGAUACUAAAACAAAAUGCAUCUUUGGCGUUACGGGAGUUGCAAUGUUUAUACUGUGCUACUCUAGUUCCAGUUCAUUCCAUUACAUUGGAUUUAGCCUGUAGCAUGUAGGUGUCUUCCACUACUACAAAGGUGAAUGCUCCGCUAAAGAGAUUAGUUGUCAAGAUGUCCUUCAUUAAGUAUUUUGUUCAUUAAGUAUGAUACUCCUUGCUGGCCUAUCGAUUUCCAGAGAUCUUGAUGUGUACCAUUUUUCCCUUUUCAUUUUUGAGAGCCUUGCACUAUAUCUCCACCUUUGUAGUAUACACAUAUACAUUCUUACUUGACUCCCUUUUAAUGCUGGCCCCUCUUUUGCUAGUGAGUCCUCUCUUAUAACAUUAGCAUACUACUUCAAUUGUGACUUGGAAAUGCAGGCACCAAAUCAUUUCAUUUCCAGAUGAUUAUAA